CAAGACGUAGCUACAAUACAAAGCAUUCAGCUUACACCUGAAAGAUAUCUGCCACCGAACCGGAUCGUCUUGA
rnacentral:tRNA from 1 species